rnacentral:misc_RNA from 1 species
GAUGAAGAACGUAGCGAAAUGCGAUACUUGGUGUGAAUUGCAGAAUCCCGUGAACCAUCGAGUCUUUGAACGCAAGUUGCGCCUCAAGCCAUUAGGUUGAGGGCACGUCUGCCUGGGCGUCACAUAUCGUUGCCUGAUGCCAGUUUCCUCGUGAUGGGUGACUGUGCAGGGCGAAUGAUGGCUUCCCGUGAGCAUUGUUGCCUCAUGGUUGGUUGAAAAUUGAGUCCUUGGUAGGGAGCGCCGUGAUAGAUGGUGGUUGAGUGACGAACGAGACCCAAUCAUGUGAGACCCCUACCGAAUUUGGCCUUCAUGACCCACAUGCGUCUUUGGAACGCUCAUGACGAGACCUCAGGUCAGGCGGGGCUACCCGCUGAGUUUAAGCAUAGCAAUAAGCGGAGGA